rnacentral:rRNA from 1 species
GACGUAGGGUGCGAGCGUUGUCCGGAUUUAUUGGGCGUAAAGAGCUCGUAGGCGGUGUGUCGCGUCGGCCGUGAAAACCUGCAGCUUAACUGUGGGCGUGCGGUCGAUACGGGCAUCACUGGAGUUCGGUAGGGGAGACUGGAAUUCCUGGUGUAGCGGUGAAAUGCGCAGAUAUCAGGAGGAACACCGGUGGCGAAGGCGAGUCUCUGGGCCGAUACUGACGCUGAGGAGCGAAAGCGUGGGGAGCGAACAGG